GACGAACGCUGGCGGCGUGCUUAACACAUGCAAGUCGAACGGUGAAGCCCUUCGGGGUGGAUCAGUGGCGAACGGGUGAGUAACACGUGGGUAACCUGCCCCUCACUCUGGGAUAACUCCGGGAAACCGGGGCUAAUACCGGAUACGACCUCCUUGGGCAUCCUCGGAGGUGGAAAGUUUUUCGGUGAGGGAUGGACCCGCGGCCUAUCAGCUUGUUGGUGGGGUAAUGGCCUACCAAGGCUUUGACGGGUAGCCGGCCUGAGAGGGCGACCGGCCACACUGGGACUGAGACACGGCCCAGACUCCUACGGGAGGCAGCAGUGGGGAAUAUUGCACAAUGGGCGAAAGCCUGAUGCAGCGACGCCGCGUGAGGGAUGACGGCCUUCGGGUUGUAAACCUCUUUCAGCAGGGACGAAGCGCAAAU
rnacentral:rRNA from 1 species